GGGACACAGCCGCGCCCGUGCCGCAGAAGGAUUUAGAAAUCUUCAAGAAUUUCUGAGGACAGGAGCUCACAUCUGGAAGUCUUCCCAGUUAUGUGAAGUGGAAAGCCAAUUGGCUAACCAACACCAUUCGAAACAGACACCAAAUGUCGCAAUUGCUGAUUGGGGAGAGGAACUAACCUGCUGAAAGACAUGGUGAAUGAGAGCCCUCCAUCCUGGGCAGGUGUUUACAUGGAUGUACCAAGAGGAAAGCUGGAUACAAAUUAAAAUAAUAGACAACAAAAUGAUAGAGGAAUAGGUGGCUAUGACCUCGAGAAGAUAACCUGUCUCCAUGGCAUGGCUUCACCUCUCAGUGUGUGAUGAACGCUUUUACAGUGGUGACUGGUUUGUAUUAACAUGAGAGCGUGAAACUUUACCAACUUCAUAAAUGCUCAUGAAAUCCAGUUGCGGGUUUUAAAAAUCAUAA
rnacentral:sRNA from 1 species